UGCAGAAUCCCGUGAACCAUCGAGUCUUUGAACGCAAGUUGCGCCCGAAGCCAUUAGGCCGAGGGCACGCCUGCCUGGGCGUCA
rnacentral:rRNA from 3 species